GACGAACGUUGGCGGCGUGCUUAACACAUGCAAGUCGAACGGAAAGGCCCUGCUUUUGUGGGGUGCUCGAGUGGCGAACGGGUGAGUAACACGUGAGUAACCUGCCCUUGACUUUGGGAUAACUUCAGGAAACUGGGGCUAAUACCGGAUAGGAGCUCCUGCUGCAUGGUGGGGGUUGGAAAGUUUCGGCGGUUAGGGAUGGACUCGCGGCUUAUCAGCUUGUUGGUGGGGUAGUGGCUUACCAAGGCUUUGACGGGUAGCCGGCCUGAGAGGGUGACCGGCCACAUUGGGACUGAGAUACGGCCCAGACUCCUACGGGAGGCAGCAGUGGGGAAUAUUGCACAAUGGGCGGAAGCCUGAUGCAGCAACGCCGCGUGCGGGAUGACGGCCUUCGGGUUGUAAACCGCUUUCGCCUGUGACGAAGCGUGAGUGACGGUAAUGGGUAAAGAAGCACCGGCUAACUACGUG
rnacentral:rRNA from 1 species